rnacentral:tRNA from 1 species
AAGGGGUUAGUCUUUGAAGAGAUGUAGGGUUGUCAACUCUAAGAAGUUAGUUCUUAACACCUCUUU